CACAUACUUAGCAGUUAUUUCCGACUAAUAAAAAAGUGCAAAUGUCUAAUUUGUUUAGAAGCAGAACUGAGAGCGGAGCAUCGGUGACAGUGACGUCACUCCAGCUCGCCUCUGAUUGGAUGAAAAUUUUAAUUUUCAACUGACCUGUGCAGUUUACACAAUAAAGUGCACACCGUGCACACAAACCCCGAAGAGCGCGUGAGAUCACCGUGAACCCGUCGCAUUCCUGUAACGCGUAACGUGUUGGUGGGAAUGUUCCUGGUCGAGAGGGGGGGGCGGGACUUAAGGCACGUCAGUCAGGCCGCGCGGCGGAGGAACGAGUCGGCGACACCUGCGAACAAAGUGAUAACCGACUUCCAGCGCGCGAACGCGCGUGAAGCUGACGCGCGCGUUCACGCGGAAUACGUCGUUCCAAAAGGUGUUCGUGACACGGAGGAGCGAGCAACGGGAUUAUAAAAAAAAAAAAAAAAAAACACAAAGAAAAAAAGUUCAUUUGAAGACUUCGAGUGAUGCGAUUUUAAGUGGAACCCGGAGCGGGAGCAGAGGCACGAGCGCAGGCUUCUGGUGGAUGGAGAGACGAUGGAGGGGAACAGAACAGAGGUGCCCCUGUAUGUCAAUGUGCUCAAAGGUGAUACUGAGGAAGACGAGAGCGGCACAGAGGAAUCUGCCCCGAGCGAUGAAGGCGUUGGCAAAGCGCUCCGAGUGGACGCGGCGGCGCCGGUGGACCAUGUAUUUGAGGAACAACUGGUUCUUUCUCUGGACGACGACGACGACGAUGAAGACUUCCCGUCCUCAUCGUUUGGGGCGGUGAACGGGCGUCCCGUGCUGCCCGCCGGAGUCCAGAACCAGCCGGUCCAGCAGCCCUCGGUGAUGGACGCCGGCGACCCGACCGCCCCGCAUCACCAGCAGGAGGAAGAAGCUGACCCGCAGGUCGGGGACGCCACCGGGACGGACGGCGGGCCGCGGGACGCGGAACAGCCGCCGCCGGCCGCCGAUGCCGCCCCUCCCGCGCUCUCACCCGCCG
ensembl:lncRNA